rnacentral:rRNA from 1 species
UCGAGAAUCAUUCGCAAUGGGCGAAAGCCUGACGAUGCGACGCCGUGUGAGCGAUGAAGGCCUUAGGGUCGUAAAGCUCUUUCGCUUGGGAACAAGAGAAGUCAGCUAAUAACUGGCUAAUUUGAGGGUACCAGGUAAAGAAGCACCGGCUAACUCCGUGCCAGCAGCUGCGGUAAUACGGAGGGUGCAAGCAUUGAUCGGAAUUAUUGGGCGUAAAGGGCGCGUAGGCGGCUAGAUAAGUCAGAUGUGAAUUUCCGGGGCUCAACCCCGGGGCUGCAUUUGAAACUGUCCAGCUAGAGUAUAGUUAGGGAAAACGGAAUUCCACGUGUAGCGGUGAAAUGCGUAGAUAUGUGGAAGAACACCGGUGGUGAAGACGGUUUUCUAGGCUAAAACUGACGCUGAGGCGCGAAAGCUAGGGGAGCAAACA